GACGAACGCUGGCGGCGUGCCUAAUACAUGCAAGUAGAACGCUGAAGAGAGGAGCUUGCUCUUCUUGGAUGAGUUGCGAACGGGUGAGUAACGCGUAGGUAACCUGCCUGGUAGCGGGGGAUAACUAUUGGAAACGAUAGCUAAUACCGCAUAAAAUUGAUUAUUGCAUGAUAAUUAAUUGAAAGAUGCAAUUGCAUCACUACCAGAUGGACCUGCGUUGUAUUAGCUAGUUGGUGAGGUAACGGCUCACCAAGGCGACGAUACAUAGCCGACCUGAGAGGGUGAUCGGCCACACUGGGACUGAGACACGGCCCAGACUCCCACGGGAGGCAGCAGUAGGGAAUCUUCGGCAAUGGGGGGAACCCUGACCGAGCAACGCCGCGUGAGUGAAGAAGGUUUUCGGAUCGUAAAGCUCUGUUGUAAGAGAAGAACGGGUGUGAGAGUGGAAAGUUCACACUGUGACGGUAUCUUACCAGAAAGGGACGGCUAACUACGUGCCAGCAGCCGCGGUAAUACGUAGGUCCCGAGCGUUGUCCGGAUUUAUUGGGCGUAAAGCGAGCGCAGGCGGUUAGAUAAGUCUAAAGUCAAAGGCUGUGGCUUAACCAUAGUAUGCUUUGGAAACUGUUUAACUUGAGUGCAGAAGGGGAGAGUGGAAUUCCAUGUGUAGCGGUGAAAUGCGUAGAUAUAUGGAGGAACACCGGUGGCGAAAGCGGCUCUCUGGUCUGUAACUGACGCUGAGGCUCGAAAGCGUGGGGAGCAAACAGGAUUAGAUACCCUGGUAGUCCACGCCGUAAACGAUGAGUGCUAGGUGUUAGGCCCUUUCCGGGGCUUAGUGCCGCAGCUAACGCAUUAAGCAUUCCGCCUGGGGAGUACGACCGCAAGGUUGAAACUCAAAGGAAUUGACGGGGGCCCGCACAAGCGGUGGAGCAUGUGGUUUAAUUCGAAGCAACGCGAGGAACCUUACCAGGUCUUGACAUCCCUCUGACCGCUCUAGAGAUAGAGUUUUCCUUCGGGACAGAGGUGACAGGUGGUGCAUGGUUGUCGUCAGCUCGUGUCGUGAGAUGUUGGGUUAAGUCCCGCAACGAGCGCAACCCCUAUUGUUAGUUGCCAUCAUUCAGUUGGGCACUCUAGCGAGACUGCCGGUAAUAAACCGGAGGAAGGUGGGGAUGACGUCAAAUCAUCAUGCCCCUUAUGACCUGGGCUACACACGUGCUACAAUGGCUGGUACAACGAGUCGCAAGCCGGUGACGGCAAGCUAAUCUCUGAAAGCCAGUCUCAGUUCGGAUUGUAGGCUGCAACUCGCCUACAUGAAGUCGGAAUCGCUAGUAAUCGCGGAUCAGCACGCCGCGGUGAAUACGUUCCCGGGCCU
rnacentral:rRNA from 1 species